UACGUAGGUGGCAAGCUUUGUCCGGAUUUAUUGGGCGUAAAGCGAGCGCAGGCGGUUUCUUAAGUCUGAUGUGAAAGCCCCCGGCUCAACCGGGGAGGGUCAUUGGAAACUGGGAGACUUGAGUGCAGAAGAGGAGAGUGGAAUUCCAUGUGUAGCGGUGAAAUGCGUAGAUAUAUGGAGGAACACCAGUGGCGAAGGCGGCUCUCUGGUCUGUAACUGACGCUGAGGCUCGAAAGCGUGGGGAGCGAACA
rnacentral:rRNA from 1 species